GACGAACGUUGGCGGCGUGCUUAAUACAUGCAAGUCAACUGAAGCAGUGGUAGCAAUAUCGCUGUGGAGGUGGCGCACGGGUGAGUAACACGUAGGUAAUCUGCCUUCAGGUCUGGCAUAACUCCGGGAAACCGGGGCUAAUAGCAGAUGAUGCAGCGGCUCGACAUCGAGACAGUUGUUAAAGCUAUGGCGCCUGAAGAUGAGCCUGCGUCUGAUUAGCUAGUUGGCGGGGUAACGGCCCACCAAGGCAACGAUCAGUAGCUGGUCUGAGAGGAUGAUCAGCCACACUGGAACUGAGACACGGUCCAGACUACUACGGGAGGCAGCAGUAAGGAAGAUUGCUCAAUGGGAGAAAUCCUGAAGCAGCAACGCCGCGUGAGGGACGAAGGGCUUUUGCUUGUAAACCUCUGUAGUGAGAGAAAAAAAUCCCAAUCUUUGGGACAUGAUGGUAUCUCAAAAGUAAGCCCCGGCUAACUACGUG
rnacentral:rRNA from 1 species